AUAGCAAGAGGGCACACCUCUUCCCAUUCCGAACAGAGAAGUUAAGCCUCUUUGCGCCGAUGGUACUGCCUUUAGGUGGGAGAGUAGGUCGCUGCCAACU
rnacentral:rRNA from 1 species